rnacentral:lncRNA from 1 species
UGAAAGUUUCUGUCAACCUUCAUUUAUAUCUGCUUUGGGCCUUUUCUAUUUGGUAUUUUUAGCAGUGACUUGGAUAACAAAAUAGAGGGCCUGCUUAUCAAAUUUUCAAAAGUCUAAUUUGUGAGCGAUAUCUCAUAUUCUGAAUAACAAAAUAAAAAUUCGAAAGGUUGUCAGCUUAAACAGUGAGCUAAAGCUAACAAGCUGAAAAUCAAUGAGAAUAAAUGUGAAGUCCCACACAGAUGAAAACUUCCACUGCACAAGACAGGGUGGAGGAGCCAUAACUUAAUAUCAGCUUAUGUAAAAAUAGACAUUGAUUGUCGGCACAAUUUAUGAUAAAAAGCAGAGGGAUCUUACACUGAGUUAAUAGAAAUAUAACCUCCAGAUUGUGGGAGGUAAAAAUCCAAACUUACUCUGCACUGAUUAGAUUAUAUCUGGAGUCUUGUGUUUAACCAAUAUAUUUUUAAAAAGCCACUGAAAACUAGGUUAUUGGACAGUAAAAAAUAUAUGUGUAUCCUGCCAUAUGAAAUGAUUAAACUGGGAGAAGGGAUAUUUUAUGAGGAUAUGAUAGCUAUCCUUUUAUUUGAAAGAUUCCCACGUGGAAGUGAAAUUAGACUUGUUCUCCACAGACCAAAACUUUCUUCAUAAAUUAGACUUAAAUUUUGGCUCCAAUUUAAGGAAAUAUAUCCAGCAAUUAAAGCUAUUCCAGAAGCAAAGCUGUUUUGUGAAACAGGGCACACUGUGCUAGAACAGAGCUGGGAAGAUAGGCUGGUAGGCUGGAUGUAAAGGGCACACAGGCAUUCAGUGGGGGGUCUGGCCUGGAUGUGGAUGAUCUCUAAUGUCCCUCUAAGAGGAUAUUGGAUUUAGAAAGUUAAGUCUUGAUAGUAAAAGUAACUUACUUGGUAUUAGCCGUCCAGGCUGUCGAGUCGUGCACACAGGCGCUGAUUGCCGUUUGAUGAGCCAGCCCAUCCUCGUCUGACAGACAGGUGUUGUUCCCAGUGAAGCUGGCUCAUCUCUCUUUGUUUUGGUUACUUUGAAGCAGAGGGACUAAUCCCCUCUGGAGAUAUAAGCUUGUUUUUGCUGUCAGAGCAGUCACACUUUUCCCUUUGUAUCUCUUGGCUUGUUUUUUGAAGUUUAGCUUCAUAGAAAAAUAGGCCUUAUGUUUCCUUGGUGAUUCACGGAGUCUGGAUGGCCCCUCCUCCACUCCCCAAAACAGCUACUGAUGGGUUCUUCAUCCUGGUUUGCAUUUUAGCCUCCAGGAAGAAGGACCAAAGACCAACUUUUGCCCAAAACUUAAGAAUUCCUUGAAAAAAACUAUUUCUCAGAGGUCAAACCAGGCUAGAGCCACUUUCUUUCUCUUUCUCUUUUUUUUUGAGGGGAUGCAUAGAUGAAAAAAGAUUAUCAAAAAAGGUUUGAUAAUGAGAUACUCUAAUUUCCAUUAAAACUAUUUUAGUCCAAAUAAAUUUAUUCAUUGUUUAGAUGUUAAACAUUCAAAACAAUGCAUCGGCUUUAGG